rnacentral:rRNA from 1 species
CAGCCGCCGCGGGAAUACGAAGGGGGCUAGCGUUGUUCGGAAUUACUGGGCGUAAAGCGCACGUAGGCGGAUAUUUAAGUCAGGGGUGAAAUCCCAGAGCUCAACUCUGGAACUGCCUUUGAUACUGGGUAUCUUGAGUAUGGAAGAGGUAAGUGGAAUUCCGAGUGUAGAGGUGAAAUUCGUAGAUAUUCGGAGGAACACCAGUGGCGAAGGCGGCUUACUGGUCCAUUACUGACGCUGAGGUGCGAAAGCGUGGGGAGCAAACAGGAUUAGAUACCCCGGUAGUCCCUGUCUCUUAUAC